GGGAUCCAGCCUCGGGUGCCCAUGCUUAUGUGGCAGGAACUCUAUCAGCUGAGCCAUCUCCUCAAGCCCUCUCCCCACAGAUACUUUCCCCAGGAGUGACAAUGGAUGCACACAGGUCUGCAAGGGAAGGGUAUGUCUGUCUCUCAGCAUGGAGCCGUUCAUGGGCAUCCCUGACUCUGAGAAGUACCUGUGGCCCUGGGAUGAAUGGCUGUGAACACACGGCAAGGAACAGCAGCUGAACACACCACGUCCAGUAGUGGUCAUGGCUACAGACUGAGUUUGUAAAACUCUGGACACGGAGCCCCGUGCGUCCUCUUCUGGAGCUGGGCAGGGCUUCUCUUCCCUGCUGCCUUGGAUGCAUGUCCCUGACUCUAUUUGUGUGCCCAUUUUCUAACCUCCCCUUAGGCUACCCUUCCCCGGGCUCUGUUAGUUAUUCCCUAUCCUCCCACACUCUUACUUCAGCAUGGGGUACCUUCUUUGCUUCCCAUGCUCUCCUGCCCUUCCCCCCACUCUUUCUGUAAAAGCUCAUUCCCUCUGAGGGUGAUACCACUGUCCCUGCUCUCUCCCCAUCCCAUCAUAGACCUCUGCUCCCCUGGCUCAAUUCUGAGAGGUCCUAAACUUAGCAACCCCUUCUCCCCCACCCCCCGUUCUCUCCUUAAGAGCUGGCCGUGUGGCCGGCUCUGACCAGUGGUGGGAAUAGAAGGGAUAUGUCUGAGUUACUUCUGUGUCCAUAUGCUGGAACUCCUGACAUCAGUCAAGGGAGGAAAGGGUUACUGUGGCUCACAGUGUUGGUGGGCUCCGUCCACUGGGGCGGGGACAGCACGGUUGAACAGAGCACUUUACAUCAUGGACCAGAAGGCGGUGUGAAGGGGAAUGUCAGUCCUCACCCAGCUACAUCCCCCUCCCCUUAUUCUGUCUGAGCCAUGGGACGGUGCUCUUAUUUAAGGUGGGUUUCCCCCCUUUCAGUGACUCUUCUCUGGAAACACCUCAGACACACACCCAGGGUGUACCACACCAAUCUCUCGGGUGAUUCCAAAUUCAGGCAAGUACAUAAUGAAGACUGGCUAUGACAUGAUAUUUGUUGCCAACGCCAGCACUCUGUUUUUCUCUGCUUCUGAGGAUCAUGGGAACGCAGGGAUGGAGCUGCCCUCAGUCUUGGUCUCCCAAGUUGCUGAGAAUUUCUCCGCGGAUGUCCAUGGAAUGUCAGUGAGGGAAAGAAGAGGCUCUAGCUGCCUUCAGCCACAGGGUGGCGGGCACACGUGUUUCAGCAGCACUGCAGAGCCCGUCUGGACUGGUGUACCCGGGCUCCCAGAACCGAUUGCCACCUCAGCUCUGCCAGCAUUAGAUAUGACCCUCGCUUGCUGCCUGUACCUCCUGCCCAGUGCGCUCACAUCCUGGCCUCUGCUUCUUCAGCAGCCGUGGUCCGUAGGGCUCAUUCACUGUGGGCUCACUCUGAAAUAGCAGCUAAAGGCAGAUCACAGCCCGUCUUUUCUGUAUUCACAUAACUAUUAUGUGACCAUGGCUUUUGUCCUGUUAUUUAUUUAUUUUUUUUCAACUCGACACAAACUAGAGUCAUGUGGGAAGAGGGACUCUCCAUUAAGGAAAUGCCUACAUUAGAUUGCCCUGUAGGCAAGUGCAUGAGGCAUUGCUGAGGGAGGGUCUGGCCUGCUGUGGGCAGCGUAGCCCUUGGGCAGGUGGUAUAAGGAAGCAGGCUGAGCAAGCUGUGGAGAAAUAAAGCAAUUAGCAGCAUUCUCCCGUGGCCUCUGCUUCAGUUCUUGCCUCAGAUUUCCUGCCAUGACAUCCCUUCCUGGUGGACUGUGAGCUAUAAAAUGAAAUAAACCCUUUCCUCUUCAA